GAACGCGAAGAACCUUACCCGGUUUUGACAUGUACGGAAUCCUCCGGAGACGGAGGAGUGCCUUCGGGAGCCGUAACACAGGUGCUGCAUGGCUGUCGUCAGCUCGUGUCGUGAGAUGUUGGGUUAAGUCCCGCAACGAGCGCAACCCUUGUCAUUAGUUGCCAUCAUUCAGUUGGGCACUCUAAUGAGACUGCCGGUGACAAGCCGGAGGAAGGUGGGGAUGACGUCAAGUCCUCAUGGCCCUUAUGACCGGGGCUUCACACGUCAUACAGUGGUCGGUACAGAGGGUAGCCAAGCCGCGAGGCGGAGCCAAUCUCACAAAACCGAUCGUAGUCCGGAUUGCACUCUGCAACUCGAGUGCAUGAAGUCGGAAUCGCUAGUAAUCGCAGGUCAGCAUACUGCGGUGAAUACGUUCCCGGGUCUUGUACACACC
rnacentral:rRNA from 1 species